rnacentral:lncRNA from 1 species
CAGCUCCCUUCUUGGACAUCCACAUUAUUAAUGCAUUAUAUAGGAAUGGCACAAACACAUCUGGGUGACCCAAGGAACCUGAAUUUUCUUUGAAGAAGAAAAGGCUAAGAAGGGAGUCCAGCUAGAGCAUACAUGCCACUCAGAUGCAGCUCAUGGGAAGACAGAGGAUACACAAUGUCGAGAAACUGCAAUUCCUAUUAAGAACACUUGACUGUUUACUCAGCAAGAGAACUUCAGGCUCAGGCUGCAUCAAUCUAAAUGCGUUUCAGGACGUCAGUCUUUUGAAAAGUGCAGACUGUUAGUUGGUUAUUUUUAAAUGUAAUCUUCACAUAAAAGAGUUACUGCAUUUUUUCUUUUCAC